GUCUACAACGGAGAAUUCGAGGUAGCCCUAGAACUACUCGAAAAAUUCGACC
rnacentral:ribozyme from 1 species